rnacentral:lncRNA from 1 species
AAGGCGGCGCCACUGAGGGCUGCUCGGAGGAGGAGGCUUGAGUCGACGCCAGAGGCGGCAAGGGACGCGCCCUGAGCAGCGGUGCAGAGGCCAAUCCCCUGGCCGGGCGUCCUGGGGCCCGCUACGCGCCCGCUGCCCCUCCGGGUCUGGGUCCCCGCCCGCCGCCGCCCCCCUUUCCCGCCUGGCGCGCUGGGUCCCCGCGCCGUGCCAGCAGCGCGCAACCCACCCGCCCCACAUGCCUCGGCCGCCACCCCUCGGUCCCGCACGGCCCCUGCCGAGGCCAGGACCGGCAGCCCGGCGCUUCUGGAACAGCCGCAGCUGGCGGAAAAGAGCCAGAGCCGAGUGCAAAUAGCUAGAUUGAAUGGGGCCGGAGGAGCGUGGAGGAGGUGACGCCGCCUCUCCCCGCUCCCCUGACUUUGGCCGGCGCCAGGUAGCUGGCCGCAGCUCCUGAUCAGGGAGAAGAGUAGGGGGCGGGGCAAGCCGCCCCUUGCCUAGUCCGGAAAAUAUUCUCAUUAGGGAAACUGCAGGAAAGUUGCCCUGGGAUACAAAAAGAAGUGGAGAUGAACAACCCCAGAUGAACUGUGGAGAGUCUACGUCCAAGAACCCUAAAGAAGUAGAGCUUUUUCUUUUCUUAUCUGUGAGAGAAGGGAUAAAAAGUGAAAUAAUGGAAUAAUACAUUAUGAGCACUAGGGAAUGUUGGGCUAUCGUUUUUCUCCCUUACCUGAUUGGAUGGGGUUUGGAGGUCUACUUCAGACUCCAAGCCUAGUAGUAUACUGAGUAGCAGGGGCAUAUUCAUGUAAUUGUUUUCAGGGCAGAUCUGAAAUCAGGAGGUGUCAGACCAUAGCUAGCAAGUCAGCUAUGCUCAAUGAGCUGUGAAGAGAAAUCCCCUUGGGCACCUCCACUUACAUGCAGGCACAUACCCCCCAGUCCAGCUUUUCACACCAGUGUUACGACGGGCAUCACGUACACAUCCGAUAGUCUUACAUAGGAGAGGAUUUUGUGUAACGUCUGUUGUCGAAAAUAGUCAAACUCUGUAAAAUAUUUGAAGAGAUUUAUUCUGAGCCAAAUAUGAGUGACCAUGGCCUGUGACACAGCCCUCAGGAGGUCCUGAGCACGUGCCCAAGGUGGUUGGGGUCCAGCUUGGUUUUAUACAUUUUAGGGAGGCAUGAGACAUCAAUCAAAUACAUUUAAGAAAUACAUUGGUUUGGUCCAAAAAGGCUGGACAACUCUAAGGAGCGGGUGGGCUUUCAGGCUAUAGGUAAAUUUAAACAUUUUCUGGUUGACAAUUGGUUGAGUUUGUCUAAAGACCUGAGAUCAAAGAAAGGAACGUAUGGGUUAAGAUAAGAGCUUGUGGGGACCAAAGUUUUAUUAUGCAGAUGAAGUCUCCAGGCAGCAGGUUCAGAGACAAUAGGUUGUAAAAUGUUUCU